CGGACGGGUGAGUAACGCGUGGGUAACCUGCCCUGUACACACGGAUAACAUACCGAAAGGUAUGCUAAUACGGGAUAACAUAAGAAAUUCGCAUGUUUUUCUCAUCAAAGCUCCGGCGGUACAGGAUGGACCCGCGUCUGAUUAGCUAGUUGGUGAGGUAAUGGCUCACCAAGGCGACGAUCAGUAGCCGACCUGAGAGGGUGAUCGGCCACAUUGGAACUGAGACACGGUCCAA
rnacentral:rRNA from 1 species